UGUCAAGAGUGUGCAAAGCUGUAUUCAAGGCAAAGGAUUCCUCACAUGAACACAAUCCCCCAAAAGAUGCAACACUGUUUCUGGGUGGUCAUUACAAAAGGUACAACUUGAAAUUAUGGUGUUUUUUUCACUUCUUCAUAUAGUGGUUGGUAGGAUAAUAUUUAUGAAUAAUUGAAGAAGAAACGUCUUUAAUUGUGUUAAUAGUAGGUAUGUGUGAGGCAACAUACAAACUUUUUCCCAACAGAUAUUAUCAAUAAAACCAUUCCAAUGUAUGUAAGGAAUAGAUACAACAUUGAAACAAGGUUCCUAUUCCUCUAUUGUUGUUGAAUGGCCUAAAGGAAAACGAAUAUUUCCUACUGAUGAGUCAACAGGGUUAAUCGUAGGUAUGUUCUGAGGAUCAGGGCUUGACAUGUUCCUGGAUAAUAAAACAACCCCUCUGAGGGAAUGGCA